rnacentral:rRNA from 1 species
AAUAUUGGACAAUGGGGGCAACCCUGAUCCAGCCAUGCCGCGUGUGAAGAAGGUCUUCNGGUUGUNANGCACUUUAAGUGGGGAGNCAGGGCUUUAGGUUAAUAUCCUGAAGUUUUGACGUUACAAACAGAAUAAGCACCGGCUCACUCUGUGCCAGCAGCCGCGGUAAUACACAGGGUGCACGCGUUAAUCGGAAUUACUGGGCGUAAAGCGAGCGUAGGUGGUUCAGUAAGAUGGGUGUGAAAUCCCCGGGCUUAACCUGGGAACUGCUUUCAUAACUGCUGAGCUAGAGUACGGUAGAGGGUAGUGGAAUUUCCUGUGUAGCGGUGAAAUGCGUAGAUAUAGGAAGGAACACCAGUGGCGAAGGCGACUACCUGGACUGAUACUGACACUGAGGUGCGAAAGCGUGGGGAGCAAAC